rnacentral:rRNA from 1 species
ACAGAGGUCUCAAGCGUUGUUCGGAUUCAUUGGGCGUAAAGGGCGCGUAGGCGGCGGGGUCAGUCGGGUGUGAAAUCUUGGGGCUUAACCCCGAAACGGCACUCGAAACUGCCCGGCUGGAGGGCCGGAGAGGAGAUCGGAAUUCACGGUGUAGCAGUGAAAUGCGUAGAGAUCGUGAGGAAGACCCGUGGCGAAGGCGGAUCUCUGGACGGCUAACUGACGCUGAGGCGCGAAGGCCAGGGGAGCAAACGGGA